rnacentral:rRNA from 1 species
AUUGAACGCUGGCGGCAGGCUUAACACAUGCAAGUCGAGCGGGGGGAGGUAGCUUGCUACCUAACCUAGCGGCGGACGGGUGAGUAAUGCUCAGGAAUCUGCCUAUUAGUGGGGGACAACAUUUCGAAAGGGAUGCUAAUACCGCAUACGCCCUAAGGGGGAAAGCAGGGGAUCUUCGGACCUUGCGCUAAUAGAUGAGCCUAAGUCGGAUUAGCUAGUUGGUGGGGUAAAGGCCUACCAAGGCGACGAUCUGUAGCGGGUCUGAGAGGAUGAUCCGCCACACUGGGACUGAGACACGGCCCAGACUCCUACGGGAGGCAGCAGUGGGGAAUAUUGGACAAUGGGGGGAAGCCUGAUCCAGCCAUGCCGCGUGUGUGAAGAAGGACUUUUGGUUGUAAAGCACUUUAAGCGAGGAGGAGGCUACCGAGAUUAAUACUCUUGGAUAGUGGACGUUACUCGCAGAAUAAGCACCGGCUAACUCUGUGCCAGCCGCCGCGGUAACAC